GAUGGGGUAUUUUUGAAGAGAUAAAGCAUGAUUUGGGGGUAAAUGCGAUUUUCCAAGAAGAAAAGGGAGAUUUUGGGGUUAAAGGGGAUUGUUGAAGGAAAAUGUGUGAUUUUCAGUUUAAAUCAGGGAUUCUUGAA
rnacentral:lncRNA from 7 species